rnacentral:rRNA from 1 species
UCCGUAGGGUGAACCUGCGGAAGGAUCAUUACUGUGAUUUACUACUACACUGCGUGAGCGGAACGAAAACAACAACACCUAAAAUGUGGAAUAUAGCAUAUAGUCGACAAGAGAAAUCUACGAAAAAACAAACAAAACUUUCAACAACGGAUCUCUUGGUUCUCGCAUCGAUGAAGAGCGCAGCGAAAUGCGAUACCUAGUGUGAAUUGCAGCCAUCGUGAAUCAUCGAGUUCUUGAACGCACAUUGCGCCCCUCGGCAUUCCGGGGGGCAUGCCUGUUUGAGCGUCGUUUCCAUCUUGCGCGUGCGCAGAGUUGGGGGAGCGGAGCGGACGACGUGUAAAGAGCGUCGGAGCUGCGACUCGCCUGAAAGGGAGCGAAGCUGGCCGAGCGAACUAGACUUUUUUUCAGGGACGCUUGGCGGCCGAGAGCGAGUGUUGCGAGACAACAAAAAGCUCGACCUCAAAUCAGGUAGGAAUACCCGCUGAACUUAAGCAUAUCAAUAAGCGGA